rnacentral:rRNA from 1 species
UAGGGAAUCUUCGGCAAUGGACGAAAGUCUGACCGAGUAACGCCGCGUGAGUGAAGAAGGUUUUCGGAUCGUAAAACUCUGUUGUUAGAGAAGAACGUUGCAUAGAGUGGAAAAUUAUGCAAGUGACGGUAUCUAACCAGAAAGGGACGGCUAACUACGUGCCAGCAGCCGCGGUAAUACGUAGGUCCCGAGCGUUGUCCGGAUUUAUUGGGCGUAAAGCGAGCGCAGGUGGUUUAAUAAGUCUGAUGUAAAAGGCAGUGGCUCAUGCGUUGUGUGCAUUGGAAUCUGUUAGACUUGAGUGCAGUAGAUGAGAGGGGAAUUCCAUGUGUAGCGGUGAAAUGCGUAGAUAUAUGGAGGAACACCGGUGGCGAAAGCGGCUCUCUGGACUGUCACUGACACUGAGGCUCGAAAGAGUGGGUAGCAAACAGGA